AAGGAGUCUAACAUGCCUGCGAGUAUUUGGGUGGAAAACCCGAGUGCGCAAUGAAAGUGAAAGUUGAGAUCCCUGUCAUGGGGAGCAUCGACGCCCGGACCAGACCUCUUGUGACGGAUCUGCGGUAGAGCAUGUAUGUUGGGACCCGAAAGAUGGUGAACUAUGCCUGAAUAGGGUGAAGCCAGAGGAAACUCUGGUGGAGGCUCGUAGCGAUUCUGACGUGCAAAUCGAUCGUCAAAUUUGGGUAUAGGGGCGAAAGACUAAUCGAACCAUCUAGUAGCUGGUUCCUGC
rnacentral:misc_RNA from 1 species